rnacentral:rRNA from 1 species
UACGGGGGGGCAAGCGUUGUUCGGAAUUACUGGGCGUAAAGGGCGCGUAGGCGGCUCGCUAAGUCGGGUGUGAAAACUCUGGGCUCAACCCAGAGCCUGCAUCCGAAACUGGAGUGCUAGAGUUCUGGAGGGGGUAGCGGAAUUCCUGGUGUAGCGGUGAAAUGCGUAGAUAUCAGGAGGAACACCGGUGGCGAAGGCGGUUCUCUGGGCAUGUCCUGACGCUGAGGAGCGAAAGUGUGGGGAGCGAACAGG